rnacentral:rRNA from 1 species
ACUUGCUUUCUUUUGCUGGCGACCGGCGCACGGGUGAGUAACACGUAUCCAACCUGCCCUUUACUCGGGGAUAGCCUUUCGAAAGAAAGAUUAAUACCGAUAGUAUAAUGAUUCCGCAUGGUUUCAUUAUUAAAGGAUUCCGGUAAAGGAUGGGGAUGCGUUCCAUUAGGUUGUUGGUGAGGUAACGGCCCACCAAGCCUUCGAUGGAUAGGGGUUCUGAGAGGAAGGUCCCCCACAUUGGAACUGAGACACGGUCCAAACUCCUACGGGAGGCAGCAUG